rnacentral:rRNA from 1 species
UGACGCUGGCGGAUGCUUUACACAUGCAGUCGAACGGCAGCACGGACUUCGGUCUGGUGGCGAGUGGCGAACGGGUGAGUAAUGCAUCGGAACGUGCCCAAUCGUGGGGGAUAACGUAGCGAAAGUUACGCUAAUACCGCAUACGAUCUAAGGAUGAAAGCGGGGGAUCGCAAGACCUCGCGCGAAUGGAGCGGGCGAUGUUAGAUUAUGUAGUUGGUGGGGUAAAACGCUCACCAAGCCGACGAUCUAUAGCUGGUCUGAGAGGAUGAUCAGCCACACUGGGACUGACACACGGUCCACACUCCUACGGGAGGCAGCAGUGGGGAAUUUUGGACAAUGGGCGCAAGCCUGAUCCAGCCAUUCCGCGUGCAGGAUGAAGGCCCUCGGGUUGUAAACUGCUUUUGUACAGAACGAAAAGCUCUGGGUUAAUACCCUGGGGUCAUGACGGUACUGUAAGAAUAAGCACCGGCUAACUACGUGCCAGCAGCCGCGGUAAUACGUAGGGUGCAAGCGUUAAUCGGAAAUUACUGGGCGUAAAGCGUGCGCAGGCGGUGAUGUAAGACAGAGGUGAAAUCCCCGGGCUCACCUGGAACUGCCUUUUGUGACUGCAUCGCUUGAGUACGGCCAGCAAGGGGGGGAUCGAAAUUUUCCGCAGUUGUAAACAGUGAAAAUUGGCGUCGAAUAUGCGGAGGGAAAACAACCGCAUUGGCGAAAAGGCGAAUCCCCUGGGCCUUGUUACUGCACGCCCCAUGACGGAAAGCGUUGCGGAGCACAACACGGACUUAUAUACCCCUGGUAGUCCACGACCUAAAACAUUUCAACUGGUUUGUGGCCUCACUGAGACUCA